rnacentral:misc_RNA from 1 species
GAUGAAGAACGCAGCGAAAUGCGAUAAGUAAUGUGAAUUGCAGAAUUCAGUGAAUCAUCGAAUCUUUGAACGCACAUUGCGCCCGCCAGUAUUCUGGCGGGCAUGCCUGUUCGAGCGUCAUUACAACCCUCAGGCCCCCGGGCCUGGCGUUGGGGAUCGGCGGAAGCCCCCUGUGGGCACACGCCGUCCCUCAAAUACAGUGGCGGUCCCGCCGCAGCCUCCAUUGCGUAGUAGCUAACACCUCGCAACUGGAGAGCGGCGCGGCCAUGCCGUAAAACACCCAACUUCUGAAUGUUGACCUCGAAUCAGGUGGGAAUACCCGCUGAACUUAAGCAUAUCAAUAAGCGGAGGA